CUCCAGAUGUUGCUGAACUACAACUCCCAUGACUCUCAGCCUAUUUCAUUAAUAUAUUCAUGGGAGUUGUAGUUCAGCAACAUCUGGAG
rnacentral:miRNA from 1 species